GACGAACGCUGGCGGCGUGCUUAACACAUGCAAGUCGAACGGAAAGGCCCUGCUUGCCGGGUACUCGAGUGGCGAACGGGUGAGUAACACGUGGGUGAUCUGCCCUGCACUUCGGGAUGAGCCUGGGAAACUGGGUCUAAUACCGGAUAGGAGCCAUUUUUAGUGUGAUGGUUGGAAAGUUUUUUCGGUGUAGGAUGAGCUCGCGGCCUAUCAGCUUGUUGGUGGGGUAAUGGCCUACCAAGGCGGCGACGGGUAGCCGGCCUGAGAGGGUGGACGGCCACAUUGGGACUGAGAUACGGCCCAGACUCCUACGGGAGGCAGCAGUGGGGAAUAUUGCACAAUGGGCGCAAGCCUGAUGCAGCGACGCCGCGUGGGGGAUGACGGCCUUCGGGUUGUAAACUCCUUUCGCUAGGGACGAAGCUUUUUGUGACGGUACCUAGAGAAGAAGCACCGGCUAACUACGUG
rnacentral:rRNA from 1 species